rnacentral:rRNA from 1 species
AUACGGAGGGUGCGAGCGUUAAUGGGAAUUACUGGGCGUAAAGCGUACGUAGGCGGUUGGUUAAGUUAGAUGUGAAAGCCCCGGGCUUAACCUGGGAACUGCAUUUAAAACUGGCGAACUAGAGUUGAGUAGAGGGGAGUGGAAUUUCAGGUGUAGCGGUGAAAUGCGUAGAGAUCUGAAGGAACACCAGUGGCGAAGGCGACUCCCUGGACUCGAACUGACGCUGAGGUACGAAAGCGUGGGUAGCAAACGGGAUUAGAAACCCCUGUAGUCC